GGUUAGGAUUAGGGUUAGGUUUAGGGUUAGGGUUAGAGUUAGGAUUACAGUUAGGAUUAGGGUUAGGUUUAAGGUAAGGAUUAGGGUUGGGGUUAGGAUUAGGAUUAGAGUUAAGAUUAGGGUUAGGAUUAGGGUUAGGGUUAAGAUUAGGGUUAGGAUUAGGAUGAGGGUUAGGGUUAGGAUUAGGACAAGGGUUAGAAUAAGGGUAAAGGUUUGGGUUUAGGGUUAGGGUUAGGAUGAGGGUUAGGGUUAAGAUUAGGGUUAGGUUUAGGGUUAGGAUUAGGAUAAGGGUUAGGAUUAGGAUGAGGGUUAGGAUGAGGGUUAGGGUUAGGAUGAGGGUUAGGGUUAAGAUUAGGGUUAGGAUUAGGAUGAGGGUAACAAUUAGGAUGAGGGUUAGGGUUAGGAUUAGGAUGAGGGUUAGGGCUCGGGUUAGGUUUAAGGUAAGGAUUAGGGUUGGGGUUAGGAUUAGGAUUAGGGUUAAGAUUAGGAUGAGGGCUAGGAUAACUGUAAAGGUUUGGGUUUGGGAUUAGGAUUGGGAUGAGGGUUAGGGUUAGGGUUAGGAUAAGGGUUAGGGCUCGGGUUAGGUUUAGGUUUAGGAUUAGGUUUGGGAGAUUCAGAAUUGCGAUAAUGUUCUGUAAUGAUGGGUUUAAGGUUAGGGCUCCAUCUUCUUGUUUCUCCAAAAUGCCCAGCAGCAGUUGUAGACACUUCUGACGUCUGACACUGACCUGCUGUUGUUGUUGACGGUUGUAUGGGGUCGGAAACAGCGCCGCUGAAAAGACCCAUAUCGCCCCCUAGUGUUGGAGAGGAGGACACGUUCACGUCAAUAAUUCGAUUUUCUCAGCUGCAUGUAAACGAGGACGAGGAGAGAAGUCUGAUUCAGAGAAAAAAAAAGAAAUGAUGAUCUUAGUCUGAUUAAACUGUGCAUGUAAACACACUGAGUGUUGAACCUCCAGGACAUGUUGAUCCUAUCACCUUUUCUUACCCCAAUAUUCCUUUUUUUAAUAAAGUAAAUAAACUUUAACAAACAACAAAAGCAGCUCGACUUUCACCAACAUUUGAUCAGGAUGUUUCCUCAGGCUGAAACCUGA